rnacentral:rRNA from 1 species
GCCGCGGUAAUACGUAGGUGGCAAGCGUUAUCCGGAAUUAUUGGGCGUAAAGCGCGCGUAGGCGGUUUUUUAAGUCUGAUGUGAAAGCCCACGGCUCAACCGUGGAGGGUCAUUGGAAACUGGAAAACUUGAGUGCAGAAGAGGAAAGUGGAAUUCCAUGUGUAGCGGUGAAAUGCGCAGAGAUAUGGAGGAACACCAGUGGCGAAGGCGACUUUCUGGUCUGUAACUGACGCUGAUGUGCGAAAGCGUGGGGAUCAAACAGGAUUAGAUACCCUGGUAGUCCACGCCGUAAACGAUGAGUGCUAAGUGUUAGGGGGUUUCCGCCCCUUAGUGCUGCAGCUAACGCAUAAGCA